rnacentral:rRNA from 1 species
GAGCAAUCUGUGUGACUGCGUACCUUUUGUAUAAUGGGUCAGCGACUUAUAUUCUGUAGCAAGGUUAACCGAAUAGGGGAGCCGAAGGGAAACCGAGUCUUAACUGGGCGUUAAGUUGCAGGGUAUAGACCCGAAACCCGGUGAUCUAGCCAUGGGCAGGUUGAAGGUUGGGUAACACUAACUGGAGGACCGAACCGACUAAUGUUGAAAAAUUAGCGGAUGACUUGUGGCUGGGGGUGAAAGGCCAAUCAAACCGGGAGAUAGCUGGUUCUCCCCGAAAGCUAUUUAGGUAGCGCCUCGUGAAUUCAUCUCCGGGGGUAGAGCACUGUUUCGGCAAGGGGGUCAUCCCGACUUACCAACCCGAUGCAAACUGCGAAUACCGGAGAAUGUUAUCACGGGAGACACACGGCGGGUGCUAACGUCCGUCGUGAAGAGGGAAACAACCCAGACCGCCAGCUAAGGUCCCAAAGUCAUGGUUAAGUGGGAAACGAUGUGGGAAGGCCCAGACAGCCAGGAUGUUGGCUUAGAAGCAGCCAUCAUUUAAAGAAAGCGUAAUAGCUCACUGGUCGAGUCGGCCUGCGCGGAAGAUGUAACGGGGCUAAACCAUGCACCGAAGCUGCGGCAGCGACGCUGAUGCGUUGUUGGGUAGGGGAGCGUUCUGUAAGCCUGCGAAGGUGUGCUGUGAGGCAUGCUGGAGGUAUCAGAAGUGCGAAUGCUGACAUAAGUAACGAUAAAGCGGGUGAAAAGCCCGCUCGCCGGAAGACCAAGGGUUCCUGUCCAACGUUAAUCGGGGCAGGGUGAGUCGACCCCUAAGGCGAGGCCGAAAGGCGUAGUCGAUGGGAAACAGGUUAAUAUUCCUGUACUUGGUGUUACUGCGAAGGGGGGACGGAGAAGGCUAUGUUGGCCGGGCGACGGUUGUCCCGGUUUAAGCGUGUAGGCUGGUUUUCCAGGCAAAUCCGGAAAAUCAAGGCUGAGGCGUGAUGACGAGGCACUACGGUGCUGAAGCAACAAAUGCCCUGCUUCCAGGAAAAGCCUCUAAGCAUCAGGUAACAUCAAAUCGUACCCCAAACCGACACAGGUGGUCAGGUAGAGAAUACCAAGGCGCUUGAGAGAACUCGGGUGAAGGAACUAGGCAAAAUGGUGCCGUAACUUCGGGAGAAGGCACGCUGAUAUGUAGGUGAAGUCCCUCGCGGAUGGAGCUGAAAUCAGUCGAAGAUACCAGCUGGCUGCAACUGUUUAUUAAAAACACAGCACUGUGCAAACACGAAAGUGGACGUAUACGGUGUGACGCCUGCCCGGUGCCGGAAGGUUAAUUGAUGGGGUUAGCGCAAGCGAAGCUCUUGAUCGAAGCCCCGGUAAACGGCGGCCGUAACUAUAACGGUCCUAAGGUAGCGAAAUUCCUUGUCGGGUAAGUUCCGACCUGCACGAAUGGCGUAAUGAUGGCCAGGCUGUCUCCACCCGAGACUCAGUGAAAUUGAACUCGCUGUGAAGAUGCAGUGUACCCGCGGCAAGACGGAAAGACCCCGUGAACCUUUACUAUAGCUUGACACUGAACAUUGAGCCUUGAUGUGUAGGAUAGGUGGGAGGCUUUGAAGUGUGGACGCCAGUCUGCAUGGAGCCGACCUUGAAAUACCACCCUUUAAUGUUUGAUGUUCUAACGU